UCAAUGGCACACUCCUUAAAUGCAUGAUUAAGCUUUUCUGCAAGGGACUCUUGACACUCAUUUUCCUCAAUCAUAUCAUCAUCAUAUUCAUCCUCGGUAUUGGAACCAUACUCUUGAAGUUCAAGCUGAAAAGGUGAGACGCAAGACAGUGAUAAGACAAUUAAACAAUAUCAGAGAACAAGCAGACAUUAUCUUUAAUAGGCAGACAUAAUAUCAACUCACUAGUAAAUUAAAAACUUACAAGAGACUUAAGGACCCUCAAGACUUUUGUUAAAUUUACAAGGAGGCCUACGCCAAGA
rnacentral:lncRNA from 1 species